rnacentral:rRNA from 1 species
AUUGAACGCUGGCGGCAUGCUUUACACAUGCAAGUCGAACGGCAGCGGGGGCUUCGGCCUGCCGGCGAGUGGCGAACGGGUGAGUAAUGCAUCGGAACGUGCCCAGUCAUGGGGGAUAACUACGCGAAAGCGUAGCUAAUACCGCAUACGCCCUGAGGGGGAAAGCGGGGGAUCGCAAGACCUCGCGUGAUUGGAGCGGCCGAUGUCGGAUUAGCUAGUUGGUGGGGUAAAGGCCUACCAAGGCGACGAUCCGUAGCGGGUCUGAGAGGAUGAUCCGCCACACUGGGACUGAGACACAGCCCAGACUCCUACGGGAGGCAGCAGUGGGGGAAUUUUUGGACAAUGGGGGGCAACCCUGAUCCAGCCAUGCCGCGUGAGUGAAGAAAGGGCCUUCGGGUUGUUAAGACGUCUUUCUACGACGGAAGAAAGUACAAGGCGGGUGGAAGUA